GCUCAACUGAGUAGUCUAACGUUGUUCCGGUUUUGGUUCUUGUGAACAUUGACAUUGAUUCGUUCCAAAUUUACACUCUCGAUGCAUAAUACAAAGCUUUUACUCCUUGUUCGAUAGAAUUAGAAAAAGUACUCGUUGCAAAGUUAUACUGUUAUGGCGCAACUGAGUAGUCUAAUAUAGUUCCGGUUUUGGUUCUUGUGAACGUUCACAUCGAUUCGUUCCAAAUUUACACUCUCGGGGCAUAAUAGAAAGCUUUUACUCCGUGUUCGAUAGAAUAAGAGAAAGUACUCGUCGCAAAGUUAUACUGUUAUGGCGCAACUGAGUUGUCUAAUGUUGUUCCGGUUUUGGUUCUUGUGAACGUUUACAUCGAUUCGUUCCAAAUUAAAACUCUCGGGGUAAAAUAGAACAAUAUAAUAAGGUUUUGCUAUUUGUUCGAUUGAAUGAGAAAAAAUACUAGUUGCAAAGUUAUACUGUUAGGGCUCAACUGAGUAGUCUAACGUUGUUCCGGUUUUGGUUCUUGUGAACGUUGACAUUGAUUCGUUCCAAAUUUACACUCUCGAUGCAUAACACAAAGCUUUUACUCCUUGUUCGAUAGAAUUAGAAAAAGUACUCGUUGCAAAGUUAUACUGUUAUGGCACAACAGAGUAGUCUAAUGUUGUUCCGGUUUUUGUUCUUGUGAACGUUGACAUCGAUUCGUUCCAAAUUUACACUCUCGGGGCGUAAUAGAACAAUAUAAUUAGGUUUUAUUCUUUGUUCGAUUGAAUGAGAAAAAAUACUAGUUGCAAUAUUAUACUUUUAGGGCUCAACUGAGUAGUCUAACGUUGUUCCGGUUUUGGUUCUUGUGAACAUUGACAUUGAUUCGUUCCAAAUUUACACUCUCGAUGCAUAAUACAAAGCUUUUACUCCUUGUUCGAUAGAAUUAGAAAAAGUACUCGUUGCAAAGUUAUACUGUUAGGGCUCAACUGAGUUGUCUAACGUUGUUCCGGUUUUGGCUCUUGUGAACGUUGACAUUGAUUCGUUCCAAAUUUACACUCUCGGGGCAUAAUAGAAAGCUUUUACUCAUUAUUCGAUAGAAUUAGAAAAAGUACUCGUUGCAAAGUUAUACUGUUAGGGCUCAACUGAGUUGUCUAACAUUGUUCCGGUUUUGGUUCUUGUGAACGUUGAUAUUGAUUCGUUCCAAAUUUACACUCUCGGGGCAUAAUAGAAAGCUUUUACUCAUUAUUCGAUAGAAUUAGAAAAAGUACUCGUUGCAAUGUUAUACUGUUAUGGCACAACAGAGUAGUCUAAUGUUGUUCCGAUUUUUGUUCUUGUGAACGUUGACAUCGAUUCGUUCCAAAUUUACACUCUCGGGGCAUAAUAGAACAAUAUAAGUAGGUUUUAUUCUUUGUUCGAUUGAAUGAGAAAAAGUACUAGUUGCAAUAUUAUACUGUUAGGGCUCAAUUGAGUAGUCUAACGUUGUUCCGGUUUUGGUUCUUGUGAACGUUGACAUCGAUUCGUUCGAAAUUUACACUCUCGGGGCAUUAUAGAAAGCUUUUACUCCUUAUUCGAUAGAAUGAGAAAAAGUUCUCGUUGCAAAGUUAUACUGUUAUGGCGCAACAGAGUAGUCUAAUGUUGUUUCGGUUUUGGUUCUUGUGAACGUUGACAUCGAUUCGUUCCAAAUUUACACUCUCGGUGCAUAAUAGAACAAUAUAAUUAGAUUUUACUCUUUAUUCGAUUCAAUGAGAAAAAGUACUCGUUGCAAA
rnacentral:lncRNA from 1 species